UUAGUCGUGGCCGAGUGGUUAAGGCAAUGAACUCGAAAUUCAUUGGGGUAUCCCCGCACAGGUUCGAAUCCUGUCGACUGCGUCAAA
rnacentral:tRNA from 1 species